rnacentral:rRNA from 1 species
UUGGUGCCUUCAGGAACUCUGACACAGGUGCUGCAUGGCUGUCGUCCAGCUCGUGUCGUGAGAUGUUGGGUUAAGUCCGUAACGAGCGCAACCCUUGUCCUUAGUUACCAGCACGUUAUGGUGGGCACUCUAAGGAGACUGCCGGUGCAAACCGGAGGAAGGUGGGGAUGACGUCAAGUCAUCAUGGCCCUUACGGCCUGGGCUACACACGUGCUACAAUGGUCGGUACAAAGGGUUGCCAAGCCGCGAGGUGGAGCUAAUCCCAUAAAACCGAUCGUAGUCCGGAUCGCAGUCUGCAACUCGACUGCGUGAAGUCGGAAUCGCUAGUAAUCGUGAAUCAGAAUGUCACGGUGAAUACGUUCCCGGGCCUU